rnacentral:rRNA from 1 species
UACGAAGGGAGCUAGCGUUGUUCGGAAUCACUGGGCGUAAAGCGCACGUAGGCGGAUUGCUAAGUCAGGGGUGAAAUCCUGGAGCUCAACUCCAGAACUGCCUUUGAUACUGGCGACCUUGAGUCCGGGAGAGGUGAGUGGAACUGCGAGUGUAGAGGUGAAAUUCGUAGAUAUUCGCAAGAACACCGGUGGCGAAGGCGGGUCUCUGGGCCGAAAUUGACGCUGAGGAGCGAAAGCGUGGGGAGCAAACAGG